CCUACGGGAGGCAGCAGUGGGGAAUAUUGGGCAAUGGGCGCAAGCCUGACCCAGCAACGCCGCGUGAAGGAAGAAGGCUUUCGGGUUGUAAACUUCUUUUGUCAGGGACGCAGCAAGUGACGGUACCUGACGAAUAAGCCACGGCUAACUACGUGCCAGCAGUCUCGGGAAUACGUAGGUGGCAAGCGUUGUCCGGAUUUACUGGGUGUAAAGGGCGUGUAGGCGGGACUGCAAGUCAGAUGUGAAAACCACGGGGUCAACCUGUGGCCAGCAGUUGAAACUGUAGUUCUUGAGUACUGGAGAGGCAGGCGGAAUUCGUAGUGUAGCGGUGAAAUGCGUAGAUAUUAGGAGGAACACCAGUGGCGAAGGCGGUCUGCUGGACAGCAACUGACGCUGAGGCGCGAAAGCGUGGGGAGCGAACAGGAUUAGAUACCCGAGUAGUC
rnacentral:rRNA from 1 species